UGAAGAGCAGAGACUGAACCACCGCUCAGGCUCAGGGGUUGCAAUCCGAUUAGGGUUUUGCCGCAUGCACUCGACGAGUCAAGCUGAGAUUGUCAUCACCAAAUCCAAUGGCACCUCCUCCAAGUCCUUACUCUGGCACCAGCACCGUCGCCUUGGUUGCUCGUGCAUCGGCCUUCACUUUCGGUCUGGUUUAUGGAAGCGUGAAGCUCAGGGUUCUCAAGAUGAAGGCCAAGUCACAUAAGAAAGCUGAAGCCAAGGCUAAACAUUGACGGGCUGAAAUGGUUGCAGCAGGGCAACAUCAUUAUAAUUUCUUGCCAGAAGAACGUUUAUUUUAUGUUUUAGUUAGUACUAUUACAUUGACCAACUCCUUCCUACCCUUUAGAAGCUUCAACCAUAGGCUGAGUGAGUGCCAGCCUAUUCGGAUUGUUCAGUACUUCUCAUCUAAGUCUUCUUAGCCCUUUCUGCUCCAAGGUUACGGAAAAUUUGGAAUUCAUAAUUUUGGUGGUAGACC